CGUACCUGAUCCCUCGGGAAUUGGGAAAAUCUUUGUGAGUAUGGUUAUGUGGGGACCUGGAAUUGGCCACCCCAAGAUAUGUCUCUUUGGCAUCAGGAUUAGUUGAGGCUGAUUGCUUUUGAUAAACUGGGACAGGGAAGGAGGCUCUGAGGAAUGGAACUUGCCCUUUGUUAGGACACGUUUACAUUUGCAGGGUAAAUCUCUAUCUGUAAAAGGUGCCUCCCUCUCUGUACCAGCAAGAAGAAAGGAGAUGACCUUCUCUCUAGAAACUCUUAAUCAAUACCAAAGGCAAGGACUUAAAUCUGCAUUUUAUUGUGCUAGUCUUGUAACCUCCUGUAACUGACUUCCCUCCCCAUCCCAACGUUGGCAUUUCUUUAAGGAUUAACCAUCUUUCCUUAGGGAAGGAACUGAUUGCUGUGCUCACCUGUGAGCGCCCAGCUCCAGACAAUAGACUUGCCUCCUGCUACGCCCACCGAGAUAGCAGACCAUUACCUGCCAUGUUCAUCAAGCACUGUGCUGACAGGGCAAUCUAGUGAGUAUUGUGGGAGGGACAUUUCAAUCACAUGUGAAACACCCCGUUUGGGGGUAUAUAAUCACUCUGUGCACCCCACUUCUUUGGUGCCCUUUCUUUCUUUGGGAAGACAGGCCCCAGGUCAUGGUUCCUCAUAAAGCUUUGUUUAAUUUUCUCUUGCUAUUCUGUCUCAUGUGAAUUUAAUUCCUUCUCCUGCCAGACGAACCUACAUUUGGGAAGAGGAAAUGUCUUCCUCACCUACAGUUUUGGUGCAGUCAGCAGGAUAAAAUUUCACUGGCUGGACACUGCUUGCUCCUGGACUGCUGCAGCUGAGAGAUCCUGGACCCCUGACGAGAGCCGGCAAGAGGUGAGAGUUCUUACCAUGUCAGUCUCCCGGAUCUCUGCCUGCAGGCUCCAGUGGAAGCAAGAGUGGACAAUUCACCUGGCAAUUAUGACUACCAGGCAUAAAAGGGAUGCAAUGCUGAGGGACCCCCCACCAUCGCCCCAUGCUAUAGGAACCCCACAGGCAGAACAAGUAGGACACUGCCCUAUGUUCAGGAAAUUUUCAAGGACACAAUUGGAAACAUUGGUUGUAUUACCAAGGCUUUGACUGGAAUGUCAUAUUUGAGAGGAACAUACAGACUCGGAUAUGACAAUACAGCCUUUGAGGAAUAAGGUUCACUUUCUGAAAUAAGCCACUUGGAAAUAUGGGCCUGGUACCUGGUUUACAGAGAUUCUGGCAAUCUUACCUGGCCUAACUUUGGGAGACCACCUGCAUCGCCGCCUUCUAAAAUGACUUUAACUGGACUGAUCUAUUACCAGGACUAAGAAAUGUGUUAAGUGAGAUGAAACAAUCUACCACUCAGAUUCUGGACUGUGAAACUUCUUAAAGUUUCAAAGGAGGGACUGUGGGGACCUGGAAUUGGCCGCCCCAAGAUAUGUCUCUUUGGCAUCAGGAUUAUUUGAUGCUGACUGCUUUUGAUAAACUGGGACAGGAAGGAGGCUCUGAGGAAUGGAAUUUGCGCUUUGUUAGGACACGUUUACAUUUGCAAGGUAAAUCUCUAUCUGUAAAAUAUGCCUCCCUCUCUGCACCAGGAAGAAGAAAGGAGACGACCUUCUCUCUAGAAACUCUUAAUCAAUACCAAAGGCAAGGACUUAAAUCUGUAUUUUAUUGUGCUUGUCUGGUAACCUGCUGUAACUGACUUCCCUACCCCUCCCAACGUUGGCAUUUCUUUAAGGAUUAAGCAUCUUUCCUUAGGCUAGGAACUGAUUCCUGCGCUCACCUGUGACCACCCAGCUCCAGAAAAUAGACUUACCUCCUGCUAUGUCCACCGAGAUAGCUGACCAUUACCUGCUAUGUCCAUCAAGCACUGUGCCAACAGUGCAAUCUUGUGUCUAUUGUGCGAGGGACAUUUCAAUCACAUGUGAAACACCCCAUUUGGGGGUAUAUAAUCACUCUGUGCACUCCACUUCUUUGGCGCCCUUUCUUCCUUCAGGAAGAGAGGCCCUGGGCCAUGGUUCCUCAUAAAGCUUUGUUUAAUUUUCUCUUGCUAGUCUGUCUCAUGUGAAUUUAAUUUGUUCUCUGGCCAGACGAACCCACAUUUGGGAAGAGGAAAUGUCUUCUUCCCCUACAACUACUUCUUGGAAUUCUUGUACUAGUCAUAAUAUUCAAACUAAUUGUUGUUUUCUUUACUCAGUGUUGUAAGAGUAGCAUACAAACUAGAGUAAUGAUUGCUCGAUGGCUUGUGAUGGUUGAUCUGUCUUAUAACCCUGGACAAAUUUCCUUUUCUGAUAGUGACUAUGACUAAGAAUUCAUUUCCGACUAAUCCUUUUAAAAGUUCUGAGUUAUUAUCAUUACUGUACUUGUUCUAUAAUCAUAAACAAUGUAAAUGUGAAGUGUCAUAAAAAGCACAUAUACAAUGUUUGCACAACUAUCUAAAAUUAAUUGGAAAUUACAUGACAUAUGAAAUGCUUCCUCUGUUAAUAUAUAUAUAACUCUAUGCUUGUCCACUAUUUCCCCCCCAAAGUGGUCGACUAGGCAAAUAAAUGAGCUAAAAGCCUAUCACCGAGGGACAUGAUGGACCCAGGGCAGGCAGCAACCACCCUGGCGCUGAGGGACAAUAUUUUGAUCAUCAAUGCUUUCUAUCGAAAGAUUAGAGAUCAAAAGGGGAAAAUGACAAAUAAAAAUGGCAAGUAAUAGGAUAUAUUGUAGUAUAUGAGGAAGCCAUUUGGUAUAAACCUAAUUUGGCUUGACCUUGUCUUUCCAAAAGGGCCUGACGGAGGCCGUUGAGCAUGCAUUGUAUAUCUGCUUUAGAGAUUCCCUAUGGCAAGAGCAAAAGGCCCUUGAGAUAAAGGUGCAACUUCCCUCCCCCUCCCAACGUUGGCAUCUCCUUAAGGAUUAAGCAUCUUUCCUUAGGCUAGAAACUGAUUGCUGUGCUCACCUGUGACCACCCAGCUUGAGACAAUAGACUUGCCUCCUGCUACACCCACCAAGAUAGCAGACCCACUACCUGCUGUGUCCAUCAAGUGCUGUGCUGACAGGGCAAUCUUGUGACUAUUGUGGGAGUGACAUUUCAAUCAUAUGUGAAACACACUCUUUGAGGGUAUAUAACCAGCCUGUGUACCCCCACUUCUUUGGAGUGCUCUGUUCCUUUCUGAAAAGACUCCUGGGUUAUAAUCCUAAGAUUUAAGCUCAGAAUAAACUCACCCAAAUUUUCAUUUAUAAAUUGGUUAUGGAUUAUUUUCGUCGACAGUUCAUAGCAAAUGGCUUCCUCAUAUUCUCCAAUAUAUCCUAUUGCUUGCCAUUUUUAUUUGUCACAUCUCAG
ensembl:lncRNA